CAUAAUCAUUAGUCUUUUAAUUGGAGGCUUGUAUGAAUGAUUGGACGAGAUAUAAACUGUUUCAAAUGAAAAGAUAAAAUUUUAUUUUUUAGUUAAAAAGCUAAAAUAUUUUUGAAAGACGAGAAGACCCUAUAGAUCUUUAUAUUUAUUAUGUUAAUUUUUUUUUAAGUUUUAUUUAUGCAUUAACAUAAGAUAAUAUUAUAUUGGGGUGAUAUUGAAAUUUAUUUAACUUUUAUUAAAUUAAUGACAUUAAUUUAUGAAUUAUUGAUCUUUUAGUAUUGAUUAAAAAUUUAAGUUACCUUAGGGAUAACAGCGUAAUUAUUUUGGAGAGUUCUUAUCGAUAAAAUAGAUUGCGACCUCGAUGUUGGAUUAAGAUUAAUUUUA
rnacentral:rRNA from 1 species